rnacentral:rRNA from 1 species
UACGUAGGGCGCAAGCGUUGUCCGGAAUUAUUGGGCGUAAAGAGCUCGUAGGCGGUUUGUCACGUCGGAUGUGAAAGCCCGGGGGCUUAACCCCGGGUCUGCAUUCGAUACGGGCAGACUGGAGUGUGGUAGGGGAGAUCGGAAUUCCUGGUGUAGCGGUGAAAUGCGCAGAUAUCAGGAGGAACACCGGUGGCGAAGGCGGAUCUCUGGGCCAUUACUGACGCUGAGGAGCGAAAGCGUGGGGAGCGAACAGG